UCACGCGGUGAUGGCGCAGGAAGCUCGGAGCGGCGGCUGGAACGGCAGGGCGGGCUCGGCCGGGCGGCCAGCAAGAGGCAGCAGAAACUGGCCCCUUGUGCCAGGAGCCGCGGGCUGUCCCGGCAGGCGGGCAGUGUGCGGCUACAGCGUAGCAAAAACCCGGAGCAGUGGCAGCGAGACGGCGGGCCCGGGCAGCCGCGGCCUGGCUCCCGAACACGGCCGGGAGAGACUCCCCUGGAGGAGGAAAGGGCCCGGGAUCCAGGGCUUUCCCUUGAGACAGCCGAGCAGACGGUGAAGGGUCCUUUUUAACUGAGGUCUGGUGUUAAUAAGGCUCCAGUGCAACAGCCGCUGCCUCAAGCACAGCUUGGCUCCGGGGAGGAGAAGGCAGCAGGAGACGGAGCCUCGCAGCGCUGGCGAACUCUCCCCACAGUGACCGCAGCCGGCUUCCCCUCCGACACCGAGAGAGCGAGAGCGGGGAGCUGCACCCAAUCCACUUCCCCCAGCCAAACCUCGGCUGUCUCUGCCCCUCCGAGAGAGAGCCCUCAGAUAAGAGAGUAGCCAGCUUCACCCUUCCCGUGGCAACUUCUUCUGUCGCUCUUAAGUACUGGUCGUUACGGUUUCUUAGCGACAGAUGGGACGAAAUUCCAUUAUAGAAAGAAACACAAGGAAAAAUCGUAACCCCCCAAAACAAGCUCUAUGCAGUGGUGUUUCUGUUACUGCUGUGGUUCUCCUUUUCCUGCCCAUCUCGGGAGCAAGGCUGUCGAGUGACGUGCAGCCAUGGCUGUGAAUAACUAGCAAAUUCCUGGCAGGAAAGCUGUGUACCUGAUCCUGCAGGUGCUGUGGGAUGUGUGUUUGCAGUGAGGCAGGCUGAGCUGGCUGAGUAACACUGAACAUCUGCCUUAAGGCAAGUCACCUGGCCCAGCUCUUGAAACCACCAGCUUCAUUGGCAGCAAAUGAAAUCCUUGGCUGAAGAGAGAAAUUGAGAACUUAAAACUGUCUGUGCAGGAAACAGGUGAGGGUGAAUGCUGUUAAACAGGGCAUGAGACAGGAAACAGGUAUUUGCCAGCACAGAGCAAACCCUGGGCAUCGCUGGGGAAGCCAGGGAAAUGUCUCUCCUUUAUUAACAGGUCACAUCACCCCAUCAGCCCUACAAGCACAGGACCUGCAGGGCAGCAGGACCCACUCUCAGGGAAGGUGGAAGUCUCAUCUAGAGGCAGCACCGGCAACAUAGCUCUGCCCCAGUUGUGAUUUUUAUAAUAAGCUGAAUUCUCGGUUGGACCCAGCAGAAAAUCAAUAGUGGGACUUGAGAAAGCAGUCAAAAUCCAUUGAGCUAAAUUGGCCACCCCGCAGGCAGCCGGGCCUUCUCGGGCAUUGUGAUGUGCAGCCACACUGAAAGGGGAAAAAUAGGACAAUUUCAAAAAUCCUUUGAAAUAAUUGCCUAAGAUUAUUGAAUUCUCUUGAAAUACCAGGGCAAAAUGCAGAAGUGCUUUUUAAAAAGUUGGCAGUGGGAGCUGGAGGAGUGAGGGAAGCCACCUUCCUGCUGCCAAAGGCAUCUGGGGACAGUUGAGGUGGGUUUUUCCCUUUCCCAAUUAGAUCCAAAAAGUGCCUGCCACUCCACCAGUGAAGCCUUAUCUGCAGAGCAGCACAUCAGCUUUAGCAGAAAGCCUCUCUUUCUCCAAAGUCUCUUUAAUUCCAUCCUUUUAGAUCUGUCUUUUCAAGUGCAGCCCCAGUGCCUUCCAUCUGCCCUUACAAUAGAGACAGUGUCCUGAAUCGUUUUAUUUUUGGCAGCUUUGCCUUCCGCUCCUGGUUGGCAGGGAAGCAGGGAGCAGAUAUCCCCCUCACCACAGCCUCUGAGGAUGCUGUUGGAUUUGGGGAUGGCUAUUUCGGUCCUCAGCUCCUCUACCAGUGGUGGAUGCAGGACAGAUGGACAUUGUUGGGCAGCAUCCUGAGGCUGUGUGAGCCUGUCCAUGAAUUACUCCCAGCACAUGGCUCUUGCUGGUUUAUAGCCAGGUGACUCUAGGGACACCUGGCUAUGCCAUGUGCAUCCUGUAUCCCACCCCCACAUCCACUCCAUGGUAGCCCAGAGCUGGGGUGGCCUUUGAAUGUUCCCCUCUUGGCGCUCAGAAAGACAUGGGAAGCCUUGACCAGAGUUUUUCAUGCCCAUCAACCUCUUCCAAGCUAUAGGAAAAAAGAGCAGGAAAUUGAGGAAAAACAUAAAGAAACAAUUUUCCUCUGACAUUUUUCUUUUCUUUUUCAAUGUGAGCCGUUACAGGAGGAGGUCUUUAAAAUUAAUAAUGUUCUUUCUUUUUCUCUCUCUAUUCUCAAGACUCUUGGUUUAAAUUAAUGAAAUGUCAAAUACUAUUAAGUUCCAAUGAUGUGUUUGUGAUAAUGAAGGGACUGAUUUUCAGCCAGUUUACAACUCUGAUCUGUUCUCUCACCCCCUUCUCUUGGCUCUGAUUAAAACUCCCUUUAUUAGAUUUAUUCUUUCAUGGGCUCCCUCUGAUUUCUAACCUUUGUGGCCCAAGGCUGGGGAAAGCCUUUUCACUGAGCCGAUUUGAAGGCUGUUUAGCAUUCUGGUAUUUUUCUGCCAUGUCUGCUUGGGAGCUGGUGGAUACUCCCAGGGAUGUCACCUGGGGUGUUGCAGGACUGGACCCUGCCACUGGGAUGUGGCUUUCAAGGAAGCAGGGAUGCCAUGCUGGGUUUACCCUUAUGGUGACUUUACCAGGACACUGUGAAAAGGGAAAAAACCCUCAGAUGGCCACAAACUGCCUUGGGGAAGGUCAGACAGGGAUCUCCAGAGACCCAAGUGCCUGAACAGCCUCACUAGGGACUGAGGCAGUCCUUGCUUCACUUGCUUCCCUGCCAAGGUGAUAUGGCAAGGGUUGUACAGCUGACAGCAUGUCUAGAGGGAUGAAUUAGGGAAGGACAAAUGGAUGGACUAACAGCUAGAUGGGCCCAUCCUCUAAUAGAUGGCCAACAAGGUGCUCUUGCCAAGGGCAUCAUUAGUCACCUGUCUGGCAAACUGGAAGAGUUUAAAGGGUUAAUCUGUUAUUUAGGACUCAACACCAAAGAUACAGUUGUUGGGAGAGAAGAAAGCUCUGUCGAAGACUUUGAGAAAUAAUUUGCCUUGGCACUUUCUUAUAAGAGUGAAUUGAUUUUUGCUGGGCUGUGUCAGGCUGAAUUAUGAAUGGGGGAAAGUAGGGCUGGUGAUCCUGGAGCUGAAGGUGUGAUAAUUAGAGGCACGUGCAGGGGGGGCUUGGGGGCUGCCUCCUUCCAGGAUUUUCCACGUGAAUCCAGGACUCAAAAGCCCUCAGAGUCCUUGGAGAGAUGGGUUUGCUUCAGCCUGGACACAGAGGUGGCCCCCUUGUUCGUGUCCCCUAGAUUGGACCAGGAGAAGCCUUUUCUGUGCCAUCUGGGACCAUCUCCUCUCCCUAUACAGGCAGUAGAGCUGCAGAUCCUGCUUGCUGGAGAGUGAAACAAAGCAUUACCCUCAUCCUGGGAGGAGGCGGGAGUGUGCAAGGGGUGAUCCUGUCACCCUGCCCUCUGCCCUGCCCUGCCCACCGCAGUGCUGCUGGGAAGGAACCAUGCCCCCAAGCCCUGUUCCUGCCCUUAAAAGCUCCUGGUGCUGUGUCACUGCCUGCAUCCACCUCCAUCAGUCAGUGCUGAGCCUGCUGCCCCCCAAGUGCUUUAUCGUGACCUGCUCAGAUGCUGCUUUCCAAGGCAAAGGCGUACAAUUCCUGCAGGCUGGGAAUUGUUGUACAGUAAAGCCAGCAGGCAAGAGUGGGGACAAAGCCAGGCUACCAGCUGGCUGCUGGCCUGGCCUGUGCUGCUCCCCUUGGCAGAGCCAGCCCCAGACCUUGCCCCCCGCAUGCAGAGACCCCAGGAAACCUGCAUCUGCCUCCAGCACCAGCCACCUCUCUAGAGCUCUGAGCAUCCCACCGUGCAGCUUGGCUUUUGUUUGCCUGCUCAAGAGGAGUCACUGGGAAGAGAAUGAGGUCUGGGCUUUUUCUUUUUAUCCCUUGCCCUUUUAUUUAUUCUCUUCUAUUAAGAACCAGCUCCAGCUCAUCAGUAAGACCUGGGAACAGCAAUUCCUGAAUAAGAGAGAUGCUGUAGAAAAGCCUUGCCUGAUCGCAGCCACUUCCCAAACAAGGGCUCAGACUAUUCACUUCCUUCUCUGCCCCUUUUCCCAGAAAAUCCACCCCAAAGAACAGCUUGUUCAAUAAGCUGCCUGCUCCAUAAUCAGACUAACCCAGUAAUAAGCACUGGGCUCAUCCAGCUCUGCACAGCGUCCCCCAGUUCCUGGGAGGAUGGAAAUGCCCUGCUCCCCAGGGAAACAGGCAGGCACCGGGAGGAGGCGGCUCUCACACCGCACACCCAGCGCUCUGGGAGGGGGAGAAGGUGGGGACCUAUCUCUGUUACUUCCCGGAGCUGUGGUUUAGCCCUCCCCAGGUAAUUGUGCAUGGAAAUGGAUUCCCAUUUCUCUGCUCAAUCGUCCUGUUUGCUGUCACAGCUGAACGUUUUGCAUGUGCAAUUACCCAUCCCCGCACAUCUCUGUGGGCACACUCAGGUGUCGCCUGCCAGCCUCGGGCGGCCGCUGCACAACCACAUCGUGCUGCGUUUGGGCUCUGAUAGCAGUCAAGCAGAAGCCAUUUUCCAUAUGAAGCUGCAGGACCUAUGGGAUAAAUAAAUGGGUUGGAAAACCAG